AUUGUGCCACUGCACUCCAGCCUGGGCAACAGAGCAAGACUCUGUCUCCAAAGAAAAAAAAAGAUUUCAGAAUAUCCUUUUAUUCUUACCUUGUUGAUUUGCCAGGAAAGACGUUAUCAAAACUAUAUAUUCAGAGCAUAAUAUGUCCUAAGUUUGUCAUUAAAGUUCUGGUUUUCCUUCAAAAAUUUUUUAUUGUGGUGAAAUAUGUAAUGUAAACAUAAUGUAAGUUUAACAUCUUCACCAUUUUUAAGUGUACAGGUCCGCUAUAUUAAACACUUAGUCAUAAUGUUCUACAACUAUCAUUAUCAUCCAUCUCCAUAACUCUUUAUCUUGUAAGGAUCUCAUUUUAUGUCUAAAUCAUAGGUUAUAUUCUUCUACAAUUAUAUAUAUUUCUAUAUUGCUGCUUAUUCUCAGCACCAACCAUUUAAUAUUUGCAUACCAAAGGAACUGCACACCAUAAAGUUUUCUUUAAAAAAAGUUACAGUGGUCGAAUUUCAUAACCAAAGCGAUUGUGGGAUAGCUCUAAUUUUAUUUACCUUGAAAUAUACAAAUAAUUUAAAACUAUUAAUUUGUUGUUACAAAUCAACUGUACAUCUAUUUUUACUGAAAGUCAUCUUAUAUUGAUGUAGCAAUACAAAUUCUAGGUCCAAAGCCAUUUUAGUAGGUGAAAUGGAAUGUAAUUAUGUUGUUGAAAAUUAAAGUGAUUUAGUUUAGGUAACUUUCUCUGCAUAUUUUCCCACUUUAACAUUUAUGUGUACCAAUCAAAAACAUAAUCAUUAAGAUGGAAUAAUGUUGAUUCCUAUUUGGAUCAGUUUGCUAAAAGCAAUUAGCAUAUACUUGUAUAUGUGGAAACAGUAUCUGCCUUUUCUAUCAGAAUUUAUUCUGAUUCUCUAUAUUCUGCCGCUGCAGUUUUGGUUUACAUCAUGGAAGUAAGCAGUGAUUAAUGCAAGUGUAUAAAAAUCAGGAUUCUGUGAAACUUUGGACUUGUCAUAAUCUUUAGAAUAACAACGAUUUCUUGGUUACCUUUUGAGGUAGAAUCAAAAGUUGAAAGCGGCUGCCAACUUGGUGCCCCAAUGACCUGCCUUUAUAAAAACUGCAUCUGUCAGCGUGUUUCCCUUCCCUUUUACUUAAGAUAGAAUUCCUUACCAUUAGAGCCAUCUCCAUUGGGUGGGAGAGCCAAGGUGACAGGUAAGGUCUCUGGUAGGUUGUUCUUGAAAUGCAGACAAGUUAUCUGGGGAAAAAGGGUUGGGGUUGAAGUUGACACAUCACCUUAGAUGUGUUUAUUAGGUUAGUUAGUCAUCUUUGAAAGCAGAGGUGAAGGGCUGAGGAGAGAGGACCCGGGAUAGGUGGAUUUUAAUGGGAAUAAAGAGUAAUUUAGAGGAAAGAUAAGGAUGUACCCCAAAUAGUUUGAUAGCUCAAUAGUUUUUUAUUUAUAAUUUAAGCUCACACUUUUCAUGUCCAGCAUAAAGCAGCAACAAAUUAAGUAUUUAGACUAUCAUCUGAGUUUUAGUUCUCUGAGUUUCAACCUCUCUACAUGCUGUAAAAUGUCAUAUAAAGUGUUUAAUUUCUCAGAAAUUCUUCAGGAAGACUUGCAAUGUUCUCUGACAAAAAGAAAAUCCAAAUGACUGCCUUUCUAAAGUGUAUUCAUUUGUGUAAAGUUUAUCACAUAUUUUCUGUAGAAUAUGAUUCUGUGUUACAUCUCAAUAACUGACAUUAAAGAUGAGUCAACUUCUCUGCUACCAGGGAAUGAGGUAAAGAGUAUUAUGUUUCCUCUUGACUUCACAUGAGUUCCAUCAUUAACAAGGGAUUGAUGGUGUGACUUACUACUGAUUGAGAUGGUGGCCAACUGGCGUCACAUCUUCUGAAGUACACAAACUCAUCUUUAAAGACUCAUUCUGUGGAAUAAGCAGAAGCAGGACGACAGCCAGCUGGAGUCUGACUGCAGGGACUCGCUUCCUCAACACCCUGACCUCACACUGGCUCAGCGGAAGGUCUGAACUGUGCUGAAAUGUUAUAGAACAAAUGUGAAUAAAGCUGUGGGUAGGGAGGGGAGAGCUAGUGGGAGAGAUACAUUCUGUUGCUUUAAGUGAUGGCCAUUCUUUCUUAUUUCUUGUUUCCACAAAACGUUUUCCAUUUGCCUAACAAACUUCUUAAUAUAUUUCCAUAAGAGAAUUUUAAUACUUUUUUAAAUUUAUAAUUUGAUUUUGAUGUCUUUUCUCCCUACUCCCAGGGAACAGAAAAUAGGGUAGCUGUUAUUGCUCUGGAGUGUUUUGUCACCCUUCCAUGACGCCUCCUCUGUGCAUUUGAGUUCACUGUUUAUGCUCAACACUGAAUUUCAACAAAAUGCCUCAUUUGGAACUUAUUAUGUGUUACCUGUUUGUUUUUUGUAUCCGUUUGCCUCUAUCAUAGGAAAAAAUUGCUUUUCUAUUUCUGUAAGCUACAGUUUAUCUUUUUCUACUUCCACACACCAUAAUGGCCCCAAGCAAGGAAGAAUUUGUGUACUAAGAACUAUUUAAGGCAAAUGAUGUAAACAAAAGGUUUGGUUUUGCCUUUUUAAAAAUUCAUUGUCUUACACGGAUGGGAUACCCUGUGUUAUAAGGCAAAGACCAUUUACCUGUUACAUUCCCGUGGCAUUUGACCCAAUGCUUUAACAAACCAAAUGAGGGUCAUGUUCACUGCUCCACAAGAUGUCACCAUACACACUCUUAGGCACUAGAUACACCUACUUCAAGUUGUUCAAGUAUGGACCCGUCCUCUUUGCCUUCCUUCUCUUGCCCUCUCAGAUAGCGCACUCCUGGAGGCUGGCUUCUCAUCUCCUGGUGGGACCCUGCUUCUCUGUCUUCCCCAAGGUGACUAGUCCUCACUCCAUCCUCUGUCAGAGCACUUAUCACACUGGAUGGUAAUUAUUUCAUGUGUCUCUUCUUAGUGCUGAGGUGUAUGUGAUGGCAGAGACUGAGUCUUCCCUCAGUGCUGGAUAUACAGCUGACAGAUACUCACUAAAUACCUUUGAAUAAAUGUUUGAGAGUCACCAAAAGCAUUUCUAUCUGCACAGUGGGCUUUUAUUUGGCACUGGAGCAUUUCAGGACUUAACUGAUAUGCAGGUUCUUGGAGAAUUUAGUAGAAGCUUACAAAUGUGGAGAUAUAUUAAUAAGAUUUGUUGGCAUUCCAGAUUGGCAGUGGACCCUUUUUAGAAGAUUCCAGGCUUGGAGCUCAGUCUGUCAAGUAUAAGAAACAGAGUAAAGCUGGAGAAUACUGGUAGAAAUCAUCGUCUGGACUUGUGGGUAAAAAUUAAGUUUCAUCCUUGAUUUUUAAAAUCACUCUUGGAUGCCAUAAUCAUGUCUUUUCAUUGCAUAGAACCAUGUACUUGUUCUUAGGAGAUCCGUGCUCAAGCAUUUAGAAGUUAGAUGCCAGGUUUGCAUAUAGAUAUAGACAGAGAGAGAGAGAGAUGGGUAGGGAUACAGAGAGAUAAGCCAGUGUGGCAAAUAUUAACAAUUAGCAAAUCGAAUUGAAAAGUAGGAGUGUUCAUUGUUCUGUCGUUUUCAGCUUGCCUGGGUUCCAUUCCAGACCCCACCAGUGUUACUAGCUGUGUGGUAUUUGGCAAGUUAAUAAACCUCUUUAGGGCUUAGUUGCUUCUCUGAAAAUGGAGAUAAAGAAUAACCUAUUCAAAAAGUCUUUGUGAAGAUGAAGUGACAAUGCAAAACAUUUAGUUGGGUGCCAGCCUCAUAAUCAGGGCUCAGUGAAUGUUAGCCAUGAUACUAAUGACAUCAGUCAUCAAUGCUUGGUGAGUACUUUGUAAGUACCCUACAUCUAUCACAUGUUACACUUGCUAUUUUAAAAGAACAAGCCCAGAUACAUUUACCACUGUAUAAUUGAACCAUUAUAUAAAUUAGAGGUUAUCUACAAGCAGGUAAAAGCCAAGUUAAAAUAAUUAUUUUGUUCAUCCUAAUCUUUAAGUCAUAAAGUAACUGCUAAAAGGUACACCAAAAUGUUUUCUUGGAAAUAAUUUUCAGAAGUAUUUUAGUAGUUUUUCUUUUGGUUAAGGAGAAGGAUAUGCAUUCUGAAACAAAAAUUCUAAAAACCAAACAACUUUUUACCAUGUCAGUGUGGUCUCUGAAAAUUCAUGACACAGUAAAAUGUCUUUAAAACGUCUUUACUUUCUCAGACUGCAUUUGUAUCUCACCUUCCAAAUUGAUUUCUUAUAAUACACAAGAUCAUCUAGUGAAACAAAAUAAUAGCAAACACUUACACAGGCUCCCUCUGUGCCAAGCACCUAAGUGUUUGACGUAUACUAACUCAGUUAUUCCUCCUCACAACCUUAGGAAUGAGUAUUCACACCCUCCCCAUUGAAACACAGGGGCCUUGAGGCACAGGCAGGUGAAAUAACUUGCGCAAGGUUAAUCAGUGGCUAAGGAGCAUGCUGCUGGGAUGCCUACCUGGGCAAUCUGGCACCUGUUUCCCAUGCUUGGAACCAUUAUUUGUGUGAGCAUAUAAAGGACCAUAGCAUUUUGUUAAGACAGCCAGGAACUUAUAAUUUGUGUAGAACACUCUUGUUUAUGGAGAACUGGCAUAAAUGUCAUUGUAGGGCACUGUUUCACCUUAUCCAAACAUCGGCCUCACAAUUUCAUUAAAUCAGCUAUUUGAUAUUCCUCACUAAUCUUUCCUUCUGCCAGUGCCUUAACCCUGUCUACCCACACAAGGUAGCAAUAUCUGUGCUAAUCUGUCCUAACAAUUAGCACAGAUAUUAGUGAUCUGUGCUAAUUGGUUAAUAUGUCUGCUAAUUGUUUCUCAGAAUUAGCACAGAUAUUCACAAUCUGUUUUAAACUACAGCCACUUAAGCUAUGUUAAGCCUCACUUUCUGGUGAGUGUGUCACUGUGUGUAAGGGUGGUAAUUUUAGGAAUCACAUCUUCUUCCACAUUGCUGAGAGCCUUGGACUUGUGAGUGAGGAUGCUGAACUGCUCAGACAUAUGAUGUGCCUAUUUGAGGAUAGAUGUGCUUUUGCACUGGUUUUGCUUGAGGCUCUGCAUAUUGUAAACCCAAAUACAUUGAUUGAUGGACAGAACAAGUGUUUCAGGGCAGAUGAGAAUUACACAGCAGUGAUCAUAUUAAAAGCAUUGCAUUUCCUUAAGAGUCUGAGAUAAGAAAAUUUUUUUCAUAUAUAUGUGAAACUCGUAUAUGAAAGUUGUAGCUACUGAGAGGUGGGAUAAAAAGAGGCUUUUAAAAUUGUAAUAUUUUUCCUUGAAAAGUAGUGUUUCACAAUUUUUUUAUUCUAUCUAAUUUAAGGAAACAUGUAACAGUUUUGAGUCCAGUAAGAUCAGUGAAAGACAAAAAUACAUUCUAUAGUGAAUUAUAGUGGUACUUACUUUGACUUACUUUGGACAUAGAGGAUAUAAAUUCACUAAGACCAGCUGUGUCUCAGGAGGUAUAUGAAAGUGAGCUUGGUAGUUACACUGGAAUCACAGAAUUUCAUCAGUGUAAGGGAUUUUAGAAAUGGUUCAGUCCCUGCCACCCAUCAACCACCCAUCUUAGAGAUGAGCAAAAUGAGGCACAGAAAUCUGCAGAGUUGGUCCUAGAAACAAACCAUGGUUCUCAGGCCGGUGCUCCUUCCCCAGUAUUAGACUUCUGCAGAGUGGCAGCCUGAUAUCAAAACAAUAAGGCUGUUAAAAUCAAUAGCUUCAGCUAAGCAAUAGCCAAUGACUAUCAAAAA
rnacentral:lncRNA from 1 species